rnacentral:rRNA from 1 species
GAUGAACGCUGGCGGUGUGCCUAAUACAUGCAAGUCGAACGAGGUCUUCGGACCUAGUGGCGAACGGGUGAGUAACACGUUGGUACCUACCCUCUAGUGGGGAAUAACUGGCCGAAAGGUCGGCUAAUACCGCAUAAUACCGCAAGGUUAAAGUAGUAAUACGCCAGAGGAGGGGCCUGCGUCCCAUUAGCUUGUUGGUAGUGUAAUGGACUACCGAGGCAACGAUGGGUAGCUGGAUCGAGAGGUUGACCAGCCACACUGGGACUGAGAUACGGCCCAGACUCCUACGGGAGGCAGCAGUAAGGACUCUUCCACAAUGGGCGAAAGCCUGAUGGAGCAACACCGCGUGCAGGAUGACGGCCUUCGGGUUGUAAACUGCUUUUAUAUGGGAAGAUUAUGACGGUACCAUAUGAAUAAGCACCGGCUAACUACGUGCCAGCCGCCGCCGUAACAC